rnacentral:lncRNA from 13 species
GCCAACCCCUGAGUCUAACCCCCCACCAUCACUACACAUUGUUCACUACACCUGGAAGCAGUAGUAUUACAACGGUCUGUCUUGACUGACACGGCGCAGUACUGAGCAGCUGAAGGAAGGACUUUCUGGUAGAUGAGUAACAGUAUUCACUGUAAACCAGCGAACCCAUGGUCUCCAUGGUUGGAUUAGUUUGAGGAAUGUGGCGCGGAAGCUAGCAACGUUAAAAAGGUGCUGCUUGGUCUCUGAGUCACUGUCUCCCCUGUCUCGACCCCUGGCUCCUACCCCUCCUUGCGUUUGCUUUGGCAAGCAGGCCAGCCCAGAGCCACGUACUAUUUUAAUUCUGGAACAGUGCUGAAAUCACCAUCCCUGCUCUCCUCUGUCAUCCAUCUCAAUGGGAAGUGAAAUAUGUGACUGACUACUGUGGGGAUCCUCCCUGCUGUUUGCCUCUUGACCUUUGAACUGGCACCUGUGUGAACCUGUGUUCUGUCCUCAAGGCUGAAGCUUGUGUCACCAUGGCGACGGAUUCUCCCAACCCCUCCCUGAGGUCCAGAGUUACCAUGACGACGAACAACGACUCCUACAUGAGCACGUCUAGCCUCCCCUGCUGCCACUUCCUGUCAGCUAACAUCAUCAACGUGGGACCUCAAGGGUUAAAGACACGGAUCCUCCUCCUCCAAUAUCUUCUGGAGCAGAUAUUGGCUAAUGUAUCAGAGUAACCUAUAAAGGACUGUGUUGUGUCCCGACCUCCGUUUACCUUCAUGCAUCAAUCAGUCCAGGUGUUGUACCUCCGCUGUAAUGGUGCUAUGCUGGUCGGGAUAGAGCGUCAGGACAGCAAAAUGGCCGCCGUCUGGAUGUCUGGACUAACACCACUACCUGCUUGUUAUUGUUCUGAUGUUAGGAUGGCAAUCAAGCAUUUGCAAUAGAUUAUAAAGUGUGGAGGCGUGUGUGUGGGGAGGGUUGCUUUGUCCACUCACUCACUCACUCACUCACUCACUCACUCACUCACGCACUCACGCACUCACGCACACACGCACACACNNNNNNNNNNACACACACACACACACACACACACACACACACACACACACACACACACACACACUUUCUAGGCAUAAUAAGCGGGCCAUUCCUAUUUCUUCGCUCCAGUGCACACUCCCUCCUUUGAUGCUGUGUGCAUACCAACUCUCUUCUUUUUGAUCCAGUCCUUAUUUAAUAUUGCAUGCUAUGCUAUCUUCAUCCUGCACAUUCAAAUGGCUUUCACUCUAUUCCAUCGUAGACACAUCCAGGGUUAUUUGCCAUUGCCUGAUAUCAGUAGCAGAGCGUGGGUAAAAUCACCCGGGAAGCCAAUCCCCUCACACAAAAAAAAGCUAGAUUACAACCUACAGUUGAAAUUGGAAGUUUACAUCCACCUUAGCCAAAUACAUUUAAACUCCGUUUUUCACAAUUCCUGACAUUUAAUCCUAGUAAAAAUUCCCUGUUUUAGGUCAGUUAGGAUCACCACUUUAUUUUAAGAAUGUGAAAUGUCAGAAUAAUAGUAGAGAGAAUGAUUUAUUUCAGAUUUGAUUUCUUUCAUCACAUUCCCAGUGGGUCAGAAGUUUACAUACACUCAAUUAGUAUUUGGUAGCAUUGCCUUUAAAUUGUUUAACUUGGGUCAAACUUUUCGUGGUCCACAAGCUUCCCACAAGAAGUUGGGUGAAUUUUGGCCCAUUCCUCCUGACAGGGCUGGUGGAACUGAGUCAGGUUUGUAUGCCUCCUUGCUCGCACACACUUUUUUAGUUCUGCCCACAAAUUUUCUAUAGGAUUGAGGUCAGGUCUUUGUGAUGGCCACUCCAAUACCUUGACUUUGUUGUCCUUAAGCCAUUUUGCCACAACUUUGGAAGUAUGCUUGGGGUCAUUGUCCAUUUGGAAGAUCCAUUUGCGACCAAGCUUUAACUUCCUGACCGAUGUCUAGUGAUGUUUCUUCAAUAUAUCCACAUAAUUUUCCUCCCUCAUGAUGCUGUCUAUUUUGUAAAGUGAACCAGUCUCUCCUGCAGCAAAGCACCCCCAAAACAUGAUGUUGCCACCGCU